rnacentral:rRNA from 1 species
UACGGGGGGGGCAAGCGGUUGUUCGGAAUUACUGGGCGUAAAGGGCUCGGUAGGUGGCCAACUAAGUCAGACGUGAAAUCCCUCGGCUUAACCGGGGAACUGCGUCUGAUACUGGAUGGCUUGAGUGUGGGAGAGGGAUGCGGAAUUCCAGGUGUGAGCGGUGAAAUGCGUAGAUAUCUGGAGGAACACCGGUGGCGAAGGCGGCAUCCUGGACCGGCAUUGACGCUGAGGCGCGAAAGCUGAGGGGAGCAAACGGG